UUAAGUUUGCCUCUUUUCAAUCAGACAGCAUGUGUAUAACAUCAGGGACUGGGAGAAAAACAACAACACAGGGUAUGGCCUCCUCUAAAGAACACACUUUUCUCCACUCUCGGGCAGGUGCUUCAGGAAGCGAUCUUUCUUUCCCUUAUAUUUUGGAAACCAUGAAGUUGGAACUAUAAAUGAAGAGGGGCCGCCCACAAACACUUUGGUGGCACACCCUGUGAAAUGUGUUUGCUGUGAUAGGUGAUGACGACAACGGCACCAUCUUCAGGAAAAAUUGGAGACACGAUGCCUUGAAGCAGGGCUUCCUCACCCGAGUCUGCUUUUCCCAUCAGUGUUAGCAAUGAGAUGUUGUGCGCACACUUCUGUGUUCUUCCACAUAACGUAAGCCACAGUACAUAAAUAUAUCCUGCUUC